rnacentral:rRNA from 1 species
CCUACGGGAGGCAGCAGUCGAGAAUCAUUCACAAUGGGGGAAACCCUGAUGGUGCGACGCCGCGUGGGGGAAUGAAGGUCUUCGGAUUGUAAACCCCUGUCAUGUGGGAGCAAAUUAAAAAGAUAGUACCACAAGAGGAAGAGACGGCUAACUCUGUGCCAGCAGCCGCGGUAAUACAGAGGUCUCAAGCGUUGUUCGGAAGCACUGGGCGUAAAGUGUGCGUAGGCUGUUUCGUAAGUCGUGUGUGAAAGGCGCGGGCUCAACCCGCGGACGGCACAUGAUACUGCGAGACUAGAGUAAUGGAGGGGGAACCGGAAUUCUCGGUGUAGCAGUGAAAUGCGUAGAUAUCGAGAGGAACACUCGUGGCGAAGGCGGGUUCCUGGACAUUAACUGACGCUGAGGCACGAAGGCCAGGGGAGCGAAAGGGAUUAGAUACCCCUGUAGUC